rnacentral:lncRNA from 1 species
CAGAAUAUUGGGAUUGCUGAUUACUUUGCUAGUUAAUGCUGAUGAUGCUAAUGAUGUCUUUAUUAUUGGCAAUAACUUUUGUUUGACAAAUGGCACAUCAGCUAUAUAUUUUACAGACAAUAAGGGAGAUCAAGAGACCAAGAUAUAUCCAGAUCCUCCAAAGUCACCAAUUAACUGUGAUUCUAAAACCAAGGAAUGUAAUCGGAAUUGGAAUAUUUUGAACUGGGAGAGAAGGGAUUCGUAUAUAACUUUUUCUCCUUCAAUUAUAACCGAUAGACGAUGGGAAAGUAAGUUUAUUGUUAUUUAGGUAUGUUAACACUAACUUAUACGUACUAUAUCAAAAGUGUUAGGUGACGUUUUAUAUUUUAUCCUGGUUUAUUUUUAUCUGAAACUGAAGAUUCAAAAAUUUAAGACGACUAAAAAUUUUGAGUUUAUCAACAUAUUUUGCCACAUUUUCAGUUUUAGUUUUGACUCAAAUGAUUGUAGAUAAUUCCAAAUUCAACUUUUAUUCAUAUUUUGUUAAGAAAUGAAAAAACCUAUAGGUUGCAAAAUCUAGACC